rnacentral:rRNA from 1 species
UACGUAGGGGGCAAGCGUUGUCCGGAAUCAUUGGGCGUAAAGCGCGUGUAGGCGGCUCGGUAAGUCUGCUGUGAAAGUCCAGGGCUCAACCCUGGGAUGCCGGUGGAUACUGUCGAGCUCGAGUCCGGAAGAGGCGAGUGGAAUUCCUGGUGUAGCGGUGAAAUGCGCAGAUAUCAGGAGGAACACCGGUGGCGAAGGCGGAUCUCUGGGCCUUACCUGACGCUGAGGCGCGAAAGCUAGGGGAGCGAACAGG